UGUUCGACAAGCAUCGCUUGAUGAUUGGUCAAAGCAGGGCUUCCGUAGAUCUGAGGAAUCAACUCUCUAUAUUCAAAGAUGGUUCAUCUCUGUCAUUCGAUUCUUGAUGCGUGUCCUUAGUGAACAGUGAUCCUCUCAGUCUCAUCCUCGGAUUAAGUACUCUCUUCGACUGACCUAUUUGUAGCUCGAUCUUGAGAGUAUGGGGCAUCUGUUGUAGAUCUGCACCUUAGCCUCGGCCUAAACAAUCUCAUCACCAUCGAGCAAGUUAUAGCUAAGCUAUAGGAGAUGGCAUUUACUGGAUUAGAUAGACAAGGUGAUCGCCUAGUAUAAUUUAUUGG
rnacentral:lncRNA from 1 species